ACGAAGGUGGCAAGCGUUGUUCGGAUUUACUGGGCGUACAGGGAGCGUAGGCGGUUGGAUAAGCCCUCCGUGAAAUCUCCAGGCUUAACCUGGAAAGUGCAGAGGGGACUGUUCAGCUAGAGGAUGGGAGAGGAGCGCGGAAUUCCCGGUGUAGCGGUGAAAUGCGUAGAGAUCGGGAGGAAGGCCGGUGGCGAAGGCGGCGCUCUGGAACAUUUCUGACGCUGAGGCUCGAAAGCGUGGGGAGCAAACAGGA
rnacentral:rRNA from 1 species